rnacentral:rRNA from 1 species
UACAGAGGGUGCAAGCGUUGUUCGGAAUUAUUGGGCGUAAAGGGAGUGUAGGCGGUCUCUUAAGUUCAUUGUGAAAUCCUCGGGCUCAGCCUGAGACGUGCAGUGAAGACUGAGAGGCUUGAGUGUCGGAGGGGAAAGCGGAAUACCCGGUGUAGAGGUGAAAUUCGUAGAGAUCGGGUGGAACACCAGUGGCGAAGGCGGCUUUCUGGCUGACAACUGACGCUGAGACUCGAAAGCAUGGGGAGCAAACAGG